ACCCAGCAUUUAGUCUAUGUUGUGUGCUGUAGAGAAAAGAAAUUCUGCUAAGAAAGCACUGUGGCCUGACAGGUUCGAGCUGAAAAGGAAGUUUGACUUCCAGAUCUCUUUCACUUUUAAAAUGGGCAAACAGGCUCGCAGCACACACUGCUCGGCAACAGGCAGUUCAGAAGUGGCAAGGCCAGGAUCAGAGCCCGGCUCGGCCCAUUGCAACAGCCAUUCUGUUGAGGUGCUAUGACUAUGUGCUUCCCAAAUGAUGAGGUCUGAUUCUGGGAAUGCAGUGGCUUUACAGUUGAGUGUUUCAUUUCUGGUUGAUGAACUGUCAUGAAGAAGAUGAACCUACCAGUCAAACGCCAAUGACGUGGGAACAUGGGUAAAGGCUUGGAUGCUCAAAUAUUAGACCAUCUCACAUGGACUCUGUAAAUGAAACCUCGAAGUUCAACUUUGGUAGAGUUUUCCUGUGAUAUAUUUGAGUUUCUCCCUUUAUUAAAAGUAAAGCCCAACAAUA